AUACGUAGGGGGCGAGCGUUGUCCGGAAUGAUUGGGCGUAAAGGGCGCGUAGGCGGCCCGGUAAGUCUGGAGUGAAAGUCCUGUUUUUAAGAUGGGAAUUGCUUUGGAUACUGUCGGGCUUGAGUGCAGGAGAGGUAAGUGGAAUUCCCAGUGUAGCGGUGAAAUGCGUAGAGAUUGGGAGGAACACCAGUGGCGAAGGCGACUUACUGGACUGUAACUGACGCUGAGGCGCGAAAGUGUGGGGAGCAAGCAGGAUUAGAUACCCUGGUAGUCCACACUGUAAACGAUGAAUGCUAGGUGUAGGGGGUAUCGACCCCUUCUGUGCCGCAGUCAACACAAUAAGCAUUCCGCCUGGGGAGUACGGCCGCAAGGUUGAAACUCAAAGGAAUUGACGGGG
rnacentral:rRNA from 1 species